UUUUAAGUGCUUCUGUAAGGUCACUGAUGGUUUGUCAUUAAAGUUCUCCUGAAAACUCCAUCAAUUCAGAGUAUAACAAGGUUCUUUAAGAGCAUCCUCUAACUGCAAUCUUUAAAAAUCUGGAUGUAAGAGAAGUUGCAACUCUGUAGAAACAGUGUAUCAGUCUUAUAGGAGGCUUCUUGUUUUAUUCACUUAACUUCACUUGUUAGAAGGUGCUAGGCAAAUAAUAUCCCUGGAGUUUAAACAGAAUUUGACUUUAAACCUUCACCCCACUAAUAGUUUCUGAGACCAGCUAAAAGUACUUUACAGUGUCUGGAUAGUUUCAUUCCUUUGUUUCUCAGCAUUUCUACAAAAUACAUCAAAAAGUCCAAACCUUUCUCACCUUGUAUUUAUGAAUCCUCCUUUUGAACUGUUCGAGGAUAUCUAAAUUCAAACUAGGGUUUUUCUAAAUGCCAUAAAGUAUUAAGUUAGUGGCGAGCUGUGACUGCUAAGAGAACUACAAUUCACUUGAAGGCAGUGGUUCAAGCGGUAAUCAUUUUCACCGUUACUAGAGAAUGCAACUGGAACCAAAAAGGUUCUCAGAGGCUCAAGUCAUGGGUUAAGGACUCGGAAAGUCUUCAGUCCAGUUGUAAUCAAUAAUGGGAAAAAUCCAUCUAAUUUUGUAAUGAGUUGUUUUAUCCCUGUACUGCAGUCAUAGGACUCCUUUAAGCAUGCCCUGGUAACAGUUACACCUUAAGGACAGAAGUAAAAGAACCAAUGAGGCUGCACCUCAGGGGUAUAAAGGUUUGGUAUGCCAGGCAGGGAGUAUUUAGCUCUUACUGGAAAUAAGGAGGUGCUAUUGUCUGCUUGUGAUAUUUGUAGUCAGGCUGCUCGACUUGGUGAUAUCUACUGGAUCAUCCAAGAGCUCAGCGAGGGCAGAAACUUCUGUGUUACUUCCCACAUCAUUCAGUAAAUUCUGGAAUUAUACCUACCUGCCAACAUUAUGCAUGGCCAUUAUACAGAGGAUUUCUGUUGUUUUUUGUCGUACGGUACUGUCAUGA